rnacentral:snRNA from 1 species
GGAUAUGAGGGUGAUCUGACUAUGACAUCUGUCACCCCAUUAUUGCCAGGGUUGAUUGGGCCGAUCUGCCAGGCCAGGGGGUGUCUCCUUCCUCCCUCUCCUCUCCAUGUGCGUCCCUCCUGAAGCUGCACACUAGGUUGAAAAGGAAGAUGUGCUCUGAAUAGAAGAGGACUGGUCUUCAGUCAAGGGUAGGUAAGUAGGUGCACUCCCCUGCUAGAACCUCCAAACGAGCUCUCAAACCAGCACAGAAGGCAGUCCUUCGGGGCUAUACCUUGUUCAGGGACCCUUCAUGACUGGCUCUGCUCUACCGUCCUUCCAU